GCUCAGCUGGGUGGUCUUGGUCCUGCCUGACUCUGGCCUAGUUGCCCCGAGUCCUCAGGGUCAGGAGUCAGACCUUGCUCCCCAGCCUGACUUUCCUGUGCCCAGUCUUAGCCCCUGGCACACACUCUCACAUCCUUGAUGCUGGUCUCCCACCUUCCUGGGCCCUCCUCACACCCUCACUGCCUGCCCCAUUCCUGCUUGGACCAAAUGACCACACUCAGAGCCCGAUGAGAUCUUGGCUUUUGCUACCAGACAUCUGACCCCUCUCUUUCCUGGCAGGCUGGCCUCCUUGUACAGAUCUACUUUCUGGACUCAUGUACCCACACAAGCCUGCCUUUGGAAUGGUAGAGAGUUGACUGUGCUAUCAUGUUUGAAUCUUCAGGGAAGGUCUAUUCGGCUAGCCAUGAGACAUCAGAAAGGCUGCCUUUACCUUUGUGACAUCAUAAUCUUCUCAUGGGCAUUGGCCACUUGACAGUCUAAAAAUAUGAUUUGCAAUGGAGGCAUUUGGUGGAGGUGAUGUUAGCUCUGCCUUUGGAGGAACUAGAGAAUCAUGUCAGCCACAUGGGCAGUAGUGAUUGAGCUGCAAUAAAAACUCUGGCCACUGAGGCUCAGGUGAGCAUCCCUGCUUGGCAAUAUUCCAUGCAUAUUGUCACACAUCAUGGCUGGGAGGAGGUACCACUGUCC
rnacentral:lncRNA from 1 species